GCUGCAAACAGAAAAAGAAUUGAUUGGAGAAGUGAAUUUCUUCAUUCUAGACUGAUUUGGGGCAAUUAGGUAUAAAAACAUAAAAGCUAUCAAAGAAAACUGGAAAUUGUACAUUUUGGGGGUGUCGCUGGCGCCCCCAAGUGGCCAAGGAAAGAACUAAACACGGAGAGGACCCCUAGUGGUCGAGGGAGGGACUCACAAGGAAAGAAAAUUCUAAAGUAUAAUGUUGAUUAAAAAUAGAAAAAGCAUCCAAAGUGAAUCUUAAUUGCUGACCCCAAUACAUCUGAGCUAACUUUAAUGUUUUAGAGUGAUUUGGACCAAUUAGAUAUAAAAACAUAAAAGCUAUUAAAAAAAACGGGAAAAUUUACAAUAAAAACAUUGAUAAAAAAUAGGAAAAGCAUUUAAGUGAAUCUAAGUUGCUGACCCCGAUAGAUAUGCCAAUUUCUUCAUUCUAAACUGAUUUGGACCAAUUAGUUAUAAAAACAUAAAAGCAAUUCAAGAAAAACUGGAAAAUAUACAGUAAUUAUUUUAUUUUUUUAAAUAGACAAAGCAUCCUAGGUUAAUCCAAGUUUCAGACCCCGGCAGACAUAAGUGAGUUUUUCUUCAUUCUAGACUGAUUUGGGCCGAUUAGGUAUAAAAACAUAAAAGCUAUUAAAGAAAAACUGGAAAUUGUACAUUUUGGGGGUGUUGCUGGCACCCCCAAGUGGCCAAGGAAGGAACUGAACACGGAAAGGACGCCUAGUGGCCGAGGGAGAGACUCACAAGGAGAGGACAUUGUUAAUUUAAUUUAAUUUUAAAGUAUAAUAUUGAAGUCAAUAUUGAGUGCACUCUGCACUUGGUAUCACUUGGGCUUGAACCUACAUCCUCAUCAUUACAUCAACACAGUUAUUGCUAGGUGAGCUAUAUGGCUCGAUGAAAUGACCGAACUAAAACACCCAUUUCACACAAACUAAGCUGUAGUGGUUGGGAAAAAUCUUUGUGAUGAAGACAUUGGUGAGUUCCUCCACUAGAACACCUUUAGGUGUUUGAGAUUCUGCAUGGGGAACCAGUUCAAGUAGUCCACUCAGAAACCAACUCCACACUUGGGCUUGAACCAACAUCCUCAUCAUUACAUCGCCACAGUUCUUACUAGGUGAGCUAUAUGGCUCGAUGAAAUGACCGGACUACAACACCCAUUUCACACAGUUGCAUUGAUUAAAAAAAGCAAAAACAAUUACCACGCAUGAGACUACUGUGGCAUCAGCGUCCGAAGUGGGCCUUGAACACACGCACUUGGAACACCAGUCAGACCACUAUCUCAGUGAGCUAUAGAAGUCACUAACAACAUGUAAAAUGAUAUGUACCGUAUUGCACAAACGGGAUCAGAACAGUUUACUGAAAUACGUUGCUUUACUUACACAAUCUGACUACACCAAAAGUAACCUCAACGAAAAAUUAUGGA